UUCUAGUUCAUUCUGGCUGAAACUUCAACUCAGUUAGGCCAAUUUUUUAAAGUUGAAUCAGAGUCUUGGGGGUGAGGCCUGGGCAUUAGUGUGAUUCUAACAUAGGGCAAAAGUUAAGAACCACAGCCCUGGUUGGUAUGUAGAGUCUGUGAAAUUCUGCCUGGUCUGCUGGUGCUGGAGGAGGGCAGAGCUCCACUCACCAGGGUGUCCCAGAGAGCUCAGCAGGAGAGGAGGGAACCAGCCCCGGCCAAGCAAGAAGCCACCACACUGGUGACACUGCAACUUUCCCUGUCCGUGGGGACGCCGAAGGAAGCUGGUAGGACGAAACUCAUCUUGCCUCCUCUGGGAGACUGGCCUGUGUCUUCAGAAAGGGAGAUGGAAAUACGGAGAGAAGGCCCAAGGCUGACUGAGGGCAGGCCGGGCCUCCCAAGAGCAGGGCGGAGCACAGGCAUGGAGGAAGGAGCCGGCAGCCACCUCCUCCUGGGCCUGGCCUCAGGACUGUCACCAGGGCCCGCUUCUCCCUGGGCAGACCCCAUCGGGGGCGGCCACCUUGCUUUGGCCCCGCACCAGGGAGUGGAAGUUUCCUCCUGGUUUUGAGUGUUUUUACUACAAACAAACUAGGGAUUCUUAGAAAAAGAGAUUACAUGAAAAUAACAUCAUCACACCGUGGAUAAACUUUGAUUGCUGGACAGUUAAGUUCGAGAGAAACAACUAAUUAAGGGAAAAAUUUUCCAGUGUGAGUUAUUUUGACCACCAACCCCACACACCCACCCAUCCACACCCACAGUGUGUACGCCACGUGUGCCACCCGCAUGCACAGGCAUUAGUGUGGGGAC